GCUGCUGCUGCUGAGGCUGCUGGCGGAGGCCGGAGGAUCGGGCGGCGACGUCGGCGGCGGCUGAGAGGGCGGCGGCGGGAGCGGAGCGGGACGAGAGAGCGAGGGGAAGCGAGCGAGGAGCGAGCGGAGCGCGCCCUUCCGCCGGCGGGAGGAGCCAGAGCAGCCCGGGCCCCGCCGCCGCCGCCGCCUGCCCGCCGGACAAAGCCGAGAGCCCGCGCCUAGAGCCAUGUCCUCGUCUGCCGGAAGCGGCCACCAGCCCCGCCAGAGCCGCGCCAUUCCCACCCGCAUCGUGCCCAUCAGCGACGCCGCGCAGCUACCUCAUGACUAUUGCACCACGCCCGGGGGGACGCUCUUCUCCACCACGCCAGGAGGAACUCGAAUCAUUUAUGAUCGAAAGUUUCUGUUGCAUCGGCGCAACUCUCCCAUGGCUCAGACCCCGCCCUGCCAUCUGCCCAAUAUCCCUGGAGUCACCAGUCCUGGCACCUUAAUCGAAGACUCCAAAGUAGAAGUAAACAAUUUGAACAAUUUGAACAAUCAUGACAGGAAGCAUGCAGUUGGGGAUGAUGCUCAGUUUGAGAUGGACAUCUGACUUUCCUGCAAAGAUUUGAAGAAAAACAGCAAAGCUGACAUCUAUGUGAACCUGAUUGGCCAACAGGAUCAACAGCGAAGAGACAGAGCAGCAGUACUAGCAGCCCGCAUUAGUCCCCAGUCCCCUCUUCCUCUGGGUGCCGAAUGAUGGGAAGAUGAGCUCAUCUGACCAUUUCUUUUUCCUAUUUCCUGUCCCCUGCCCAGUUAGUUGUACAGGUUAGAUUGAAGGCCCUUGGUGUAUUUCUGUAGUGCUAAGCAGCCCAUAGAGGAAAACUCUGGCUUCUCUGGUUGUUUAUUGUGAACCACCCCCUAGCCCCCUUAAAUUUAUCCCAAACGGAUAUCAGCUUAUCAACAACUGCCUGGCUGGGAAGUCUAGGGAAGAGAUACAGAGGUUUCAUGGGUUCAGCAUCACUCCUGCUUCUUAGCCUUUGUUUCUCCUCCCUGUAUCUCA